rnacentral:misc_RNA from 1 species
UAACCCUCAAGCCUAGCUUGGUGUUGGGGCAUGCCUUUGGGCAGCCCUUAAAAUCAGUGGCAGUGCCUGUCGGCUCUAAGCGUAGUAAUUUCUCUCGCUAUAGGGUCCGGUAGAACACGCGCCAGAACCCCCAACUUUCUAU